GUCCCGCUGUACCGAAAAGUCACCGGAGGUGGCCUGCCAGUCGUAAGGCUGGAUAGGAGGCGGGACGCAC
rnacentral:sRNA from 12 species